rnacentral:misc_RNA from 1 species
CGCACAUUGCGCCCCUCGGUAUUCCGGGGGGCAUACCUGUUCGAGCGUCAUUACACCUCUCAAGCGUAGCUUGGUAUUGGGCCUCGCUCCCUCAAAAGGGCGUGCCUGAAAAGUAGUGGCGGUCCGGCGUGGCCUUGAACGUAGUAAAUUUACCCCCGUUCUGAAGGUCCGCGUCGCGGCUGGCCAGAAUCGCCCACUUUCAAGAAUUGACCUCGGAUCAGGUAGGGAUACCCGCUGAACUUAA